UAAGACGAACCGUCCAAACGUUAUUCGGAAUCACUGGGCUUACAGAGUUCGUAGGCGGUUCGGUAAGUUAGGUGUGAAAUCCCUUGGCUCAACCAAGGAACUGCGCUUAAUACUGCCGAACUUGAGGGAGAUAGAGGAGAGCGGAACUGAUGGUGGAGCGGUGAAAUGCGUUGAUAUCAUCAGGAACACCGGUGGCGAAGGCGGCUCUCUGGGUCUCUCCUGACGCUGAGGAACGAAAGCUAGGGGAGCAAACGGGAUUAGAUACCCCGGUAGUCCUAGCCGUAAACGAUGAGCACUAGGUCGUGGGCCUCCACAGGCUCUCGGCCGUAGCGAAAGUGUUAAGUGCUCCGCCUGGGGAGUAUGGUCGCAAGGCUG
rnacentral:rRNA from 1 species